UACGUAGGGUGCGAGCGUUGUCCGGAAUUAUUGGGCGUAAAGAGCUUGUAGGCGGUUUGUCGCGUCUGCUGUGAAAAUCCGGGGCUCAACCCCGGACUUGCAGUGGGUACGGGCAGACUGGAGUGUGGUAGGGGAGACUGGAAUUCCUGGUGUAGCGGUGGAAUGCGCAGAUAUCAGGAGGAACACCGGUGGCGAAGGCGGGACUCUGGGCCAGUACUGACGCUGAGGAGCGAAAGCGUGGGGAGCGAACAGGAUUAGAACCGU
rnacentral:rRNA from 1 species